rnacentral:lncRNA from 1 species
AAAUAUGUACAGAAAAUUGUAAAAAUGUCCAUACCAUGAGAAUAUGUGAUUUUGGCCCGAAGUUCAAAAUCUAAGGGGAUUGAAUGUCCAUACCAUGAGAAUAUGUGAUUUUGGCCUGAAGUUCAAAAUCUAACAGUGUUGAGAACCUGAAGUUCCAAUAAUUAAAUGGACAACCCUUGAGGUAUUGUUGCAAAUUGUGGUACGCCACAUAUCUCUUUGGCAUAAGAGAAUGAUGAAUUGAGGCUCCC